rnacentral:lncRNA from 1 species
CGGAAGUAGUUUCAUAGGAGAUGACGUCAUCGAGCUGUUUGGCAGCUGCUUGGAGGGAGAGAUGGAGAAUCUGAGUGGGGUCCACUAUGGAUUUGUUGAUAAGGAUGGAGUUGAAGGCUUCUUUACACGAUGGGGUAUUACAGGCGGCGUUUGAAAAGAAUAUUCUGACAGCUGCGUUGUCGGAAAUUGAUUCGGCGGUUUCCGGGAUGCCGUGGUGAACGAGGUAGAAGCUGAAUGC